rnacentral:lncRNA from 1 species
AAAUGACAACAGCCCAAAUGUGUGCACAAAUGGGCGACACACCAUUACAAAUGACAACAAGAAAAGGGUUGUUUUAGGGUGGAACAAGGAAGGGGUUUGGCAGAAAAGGGAAAAUUUUUAAAGGUUGGAAAUAACAGUAUAAUGUCUAUAAAAAUAGCAAAAAAAAUUGGCAAUAAAAAAAUAAGAGAGGAGAAAAAAAAGAAAAAUUAACACCCCCACAAGAGAAGAAGAUUAGCGGUAAUGGAUGUCUAAUGAAAAAUAAUUAGGGAUGUUUUUGGUG